UUUUACCCUAUCACAUUUUCAGCCGCCUCACUCUCUCUUCCUCAUCCUCACCGUCGGUUCUCUCUCUCCCUCACAGCUCAAAUCUUCACACAAACACACACAGAGCAAAGAGAGAGAGAGAGAGAGAGAGAGAGAGAGAGAGAGAGUAGAGCGAGGAAUGCUCGAAACAUCGAGACUCAACCGAUCUCCAAAACGAUUCGUUUCAUCUGAAACCCUAACCCUAGCCCUAGCCCUAGCCCUAUCACUUCACAGAUCGAUGGUUUCGACGAUGAAUCUUCAUUUCAAUUGAAGAAAAUCUUUGAAUCUCGAAAAUCGGUGUGACCUUCGCGGUAUUGAUUUGAUUUCGAUCAGUGAAGUUGGCGAUCUCGGCGGUUGCAGAUCUGACCGGAGAGAGAGUGACUGACUGAAAAAGACACGAAACGAUGCCGUCGCCGUUGCAGGAGGCGGAGGUGAAAACACUUUGCGAUCAAGCGAGGGCGAUUCUUGUUGAGGAGUGGAACGUACAGUCGGUGAAGUGUCCGGCGACAGUUUGCGGUGAUAUCCAUGGCCAGUUCUACGAUCUCAUCGAGCUCUUUCGGAUAUGGGCGAUUAUGUAGCUCGGUUCAUGUUUUAUCUUCGAGAUCUGUAAAAAGUCCAAUGAUGAUACCGUAAAGACAUGUAUAUCAUCACCUUCCCUCCCUAUCACAUUUUCAUUAAAUCCAAUAUAUAAUGUUAUAAAUGCUAAGUGAAUGUUUGAAGAGGACAUUGAUGCAAAGUGAAAACUCUUGUUGAUUUAAGAUGAGAUGUAAUCUGACUUAUGAAAAAAGAAAAAUGAAAAAGAUGAGGUGCAAUUUGUCCAGCAAGUCAUGCUUAGAAACUACUAGUUGAAAAUGAUUUAUUAUAUUUUCCAGAAUAUAACUUUUAAAGUGCACAUAUUUGCUAUGAUGUUAUGUGGUGGUUUCUGGACAGUACAUAUACUGAGUUUUGAGACUGCCCUGAUCCAUGAGAGGUGAAGGAAUGCACAUCAGCCUUGCUGCGUUUUGCGAAGAAGACUAACAUCCCCAUUCUUUUGGUGCGUAUACAUUGUCCAAGUUUGAAAGGAAGCCAACAUUUGACAUUUUUGGAUGUAUAUUCAUCACAUCUAGUUAUUUGAGAGACAAAAUCAGGCAUUUGGAGGAGGCCCCCACUCAAUCAGAUGGUGCUGGUGGUAAAGGCACAUGGGGAAAACUCCCUGACACUGAUGGGUGUUGUUCAUUAUGGAUAUUGGAUGUCUAACAUGCUUCUUAAAAACAAGAAGAGAAAAAAAGGGGGGAAGUAAAAAAGAAAAAAAAAUGGUAUAUGGGGUGUUUAACAUGGAAGUUGGUCUUAUUUUGUUGGAUUAUUGGUAGUGCCUGUCUGCGAUGUAUAUGUUAAGCCACAACCACAAGAGUAUAGAGUAGUUCUUAUUUUUGUUUCCCUUUUGAUUGAUCUUUAUCCACCUCCCUCCCCUUCUUUUUUCUCUCCUUUUGAUUAUCACUAGUGGUAUACCACAUCUUUUCUUUUGUUAAUUUUAUUAUGAUGGAUAUAGACAAUGUUAUAUAGUUAAUAUAAUGUUGUGUACAAAGGACCACAUCUUUUCUUUUAUUAUGUAUUUGAUAAUAUAUUUAUAUGUUAAUAUUAUGUUAGUUUGGAGACAUU